rnacentral:rRNA from 1 species
GACGAACGCUGGCGGCGUGCUUAACACAUGCAAGUCGAACGGAAAGGCCCUUCGGGGUCCUCGAGUGGCGAACGGGUGAGUAACACGUUGAUGCUCUGCCCUGCACUUUGUGAUACGCCUGGGAAACUGGGUCUAAUACCGAAUAUGAUCAUCAGCUUCAUAGUCGGUGGGGGCAAGCUUUUGCGGCGUGUGAUGGGCCCGCGGUCUAUCAGCUUGCUGGUGGGGUAAUGGCAUACGAAGUCGACGACGGGUAGCCGGCCCGAGAGUGUGACCGCCCACACUGGGACUGAGAUACGGACCAGACGCCUACGGGAGGCAGCAGUGGGGAAUAUUGCACAACGGGGGCAAGCCUGAUGCAGCGACGCCGCGUGAGGGAUGACGGCCUUCGGGUUGUAAACCUCUUUCAGCACAGACGAAGCGGAAGUGACGGUACGUGCAGAAGAAGGACCGGCCAACUACGUG